rnacentral:rRNA from 1 species
GACGAACGCUGGCGGCGUGCCUAAUACAUGCAAGUAGGACGCAGUUGCGAACGGGGGAGUAACGCGUAGGUAACUACCUAUCAGAGGGGGAUAACUAUUGGAAACGAUAGCUAAUACCGCAUACUAGUAGAUGGACCUGCGUUGUAUUAGCUAGUAGGUAGGGUAAUGGCCUACCUAGGCAACGAUACAUAGCCGACCUGAGAGGGUUAUCGGCCAAGAUGGGACUGAGACACGGCCCAGACUCCGACGGGAGGCAGCAGUAGGGAAUCUUCGGCAAUGGGGGGAACCCUGACCGAGCAACGCAGCGUGAGUGAAGAAAGUUUUCGGAACGUAAAGCUAUGUUGUUAAGGAAGCGGUACUUACCCAGAAAGGGACGGCUAACUACGUGCCAGCAGCCGCGGUAAUUC